CGGUUGAUCCUGCCGGACCUGACUGCUAUCGGAUUGAUACUAAGCCAUGCGAGUCAUUGUAGCAAUACAAGGCAGACGGCUCAGUAACGCGUAGUCAACCUAACCUAUGGACGGGGAUAACCUCGGGAAACUGAGAAUAAUGCCCGAUAGAACACUAUAUCUGGAAUGGUUUGUGUUCCAAAUGAUUUAUCGCCGUAGGAUGGGACUGCGGCCUAUCAGUUUGUUGGUGAGGUAAUGGCCCACCAAGACUAUUACAGGUACGGGCUCUGAGAGGAGUAGCCCGGAGAUGGGUACUGAGACACGGACCCAGGCCCUAUGGGGCGCAGCAGGCGAGAAAACUUUGCAAUGUGCGAAAGCACGACAAGGUUAAUCCGAGUGGUUUGUGCUAAACGAACCUUUUGUCGGUCCUAGAAACACCGAUGAAUAAGGGGUGGGCAAGUUCUGGUGUCAGCCGCCGCGGUAAAACCAGCACCUCAAGUGGUCAGGAUGAUUAUUGGGCCUAAAGCAUCCGUAGCCGGCGCUGUAAGUUUUCGGUUAAAUCUGUACGCUCAACGUACAGGCUGCCGGGAAUACUGCAGCGCUAGGGAGUGGGAGAGGUAGACGGUACUCGGUAGGAAGGGGUAAAAUCCUUUGAUCUAUUGAUGACCACCUGUGGCGAAGGCGGUCUACCAGAACACGUCCGACGGUGAGGGAUGAAAGCUGGGGGAGCAAACCGGAUUAGAUACCCGGGUAGUCCCAGCUGUAAACUAUGCAAACUCAGUGAUGCAUUGGCUUGUGGCCAAUGCAGUGCUGCAGGGAAGCCGUUAAGUUUGCCGCCUGGGAAGUACGUACGCAAGUAUGAAACUUAAAGGAAUUGGCGGGGGAGCACCACAAGGGGUGAAGCCUGCGGUUCAAUUGGAGUCAACGCCGGGAAUC
rnacentral:rRNA from 1 species